ensembl:lncRNA
GGCAGCUAUGUUUUAUUGAGCCAAUGACCAGUGCCUGCCAGGGACUUCUGACCAUUUGUACCCUUCGGCUCAAACUCUUUCCUUCUCUUCCCCUGAUGUUCUUCUUUACUUUCUUAGAAAUAGCCACUGCUCACCUUUUAAGAUUCUAAUCAGAAAUCACAUCUGCCAGGAAACACCCCUUAUGUCAGGGUAGCUAGUCUUCCCCAUCCCUAUCACCCUGUUCUUAUCACAACCUGUGGCAGGUACCCUUCUUGGGUGGAUGGGUACCCCCUGACUCUUCCUUAUGAUGUCGUUCUCCAAGCAGGGGAAGAGUCUCCCAGUCACUGCUUAGGCAUUUGCCCUGGGAAGAAAUUUAAAGGGAAGUGAGCAUAGUGAUAAUGAACGGUGAUGGGAGAUUGUCCGUGAGGACGACCUGCAAGGCUGAAUGCAACCUAUUUUGACAUCACUAAUGUGGUCACCUUUGCAGUCAGUCUAACACAGUUAGGACCAAAAGAGGCACAGAAUGAAGACAGGGCUACCUCUGUCUCUUGGAAGCAAUAGAAAAACUAUAACAAAGUAAAUCUCAACAGGAAGAAGAUUGGUGUGCCUGAAAUACAUACAUGUGCUUAUGUGUAUUUGUGACAUAUGUGUAGAUGCGUGUCUAUAUCUAUAGCUAUCCAUCAUUUAGUAAAUGAGUGUACCAGCCACCCUAGGCACGUAUCCUUUUGGUCUUAAGAGAAAUGUUCUUGGCAUGCCUUGACUAACACUCAUUCAGAUGAGAUAAUCCCAACAGAAUUCCUUACCUUAUCACUCCCAAACCCAGCUAAUGUUCCAUGUUUUAAAGUAAUUAUUUCUGUCCUUUUCUCCAAGGUGGUUAGGGCAAAUUACUAAUUCCAAAACUAAUCAGAAAUGAGAUCUUUGAGAAGUCUGCUAUUUGUGAUAUUGGCACUUUUAACAGAUUCAGAAGGCGCCUACUCAAGAAAACAUAAGUAAUUUUCAAAAUGGAACAGAGUUUGAAGAUUUGAAGUUCAGCUCCUAAUUUCCCACGGGCUCAACACAAUAGCACAGAAGCAGUUAAUGAAAUGAAACACAGCAGAAGCCUCCACCCUGGCUGCUUUUGGAGCUUCGAGGAUAUUGGAGGUAAUGACUCAGAACCGUGAUGAACUCUCUCAGGGGUUCGUGCCUCCACAGCUUGCCCUGCAUUUGGCACUGAUAAUCAAGCACUGGCUGGAAUAACCAUUAUGAUAAUACAGCAGGGAU